GGCUAUAGCUCAGUUGGUAGAGCAGCUUGGUAGCGCAACUGGUUUGGGACCAGUGGGUCGGAGGUUCGAAUCCUCUCUCGCCG
rnacentral:tRNA from 1 species